rnacentral:sRNA from 1 species
CAGGGACCCAAAACCAUGGAACAGGUGGUCUGGGAAACCUUCCCUGAUGAAGCAAAUUAGCUGAGACCCAGGGUAGGGAGGGGCUGGCCAGGUGUGGAAGGGUGGGUUCCACCAGGUCAAACGCUUAGCCCCAAUUUCUCCUUCCUCCAGGGAGAGCCAGGGCCUCGAGGAGAAAUUGGUCCCCAGGGCAUCAUGGGACAGAAGGGUGACCAAGGCGAGAGGGGUCCAGUGGGGCAACCAGGCCCUCAGGGAAGGCAGGGCCCUAAGGGGGAGCAGGGCCCCCCUGGAAUUCCAGGGCCCCAAGGCUUGCCAGGCGUCAAAGGAGACAAGGGCUCCCCAGGGAAGACCGGGCCCCGCGGCAGAGUGGGUGACCCAGGGGUGGCCGGCCUCCCCGGAGAGAAAGGCGAGAAGGGCGAGUCCGGCGAGCCGGGGCCCAAGGGACAGCAAGGAGUACGUGGAGAACCCGGCUACCCUGGCCCCAGCGGGGAUGCGGGCGCCCCAGGGAUUCAGGGCUACCCUGGUCCCCCCGGCCCUCGAGGACUGGCCGGGAACCGAGGCGUGCCAGGACAGCCCGGGAGACAGGGUGUGGAGGGCCGGGAUGCCACUGACCAGCACAUCGUGGAUGUGGCGCUGAAGAUGCUGCAAGAGCAACUGGCAGAGGUCGCCGUGAGUGCCAAGCGGGAAGCCCUGGGUGCGGUGGGCAUGAUGGGUCCUCCAGGACCUCCUGGGCCCCCUGGGUACCCAGGCAAGCAGGGCCCCCAUGGGCACCCUGGCCCUCGGGGCGUUCCUGGCAUCGUGGGAGCCGUGGGUCAGAUCGGCAACACGGGGCCCAAGGGAAAACGUGGAGAGAAGGGUGAUCCAGGAGAAGUGGGACGGGGGCACCCCGGGAUGCCUGGGCCCCCAGGGAUCCCAG